GCAUGAGCCCAGGAGGCUGAGACUACAGUGAGUCAUAAUCAGGCCUCUACACUCCAGCCUGCGUGACAGAGUAAGACUCUGUCUCAAAA